rnacentral:misc_RNA from 1 species
AACGCACAUUGCGCCUCUUGGUAUUCCUUGAGGCAUGCCUGUUCGAGCGUCGUUUUGACCAUAAGGCUUUGCCUUGCGUUGAGUUCCUUCCGGCGUGCUUUUUUUGCCGCUGGAAACUCCAAAACGAUUGGCGUCUUUAGACUCUCUGCCUGUACGCACCCACGUGCGGCUGCGGAAUGGGGGUCAGACUGCCGACUUUAUACUCUUUUAAGGUCGACCUCGGAUCAAGCAAGACUACCCGCUGAACUUAA